rnacentral:tRNA from 1 species
GGGUUGGUCGUACAGCGGCAAGUACAACGGUCUGUAAAAUCGUCGACCGUAAGGUCUCCGAAGGUUCGAGUCCUUCCCAGCCCACCA